UUGCUAAUUUCUUACUUUUUUUAUUAUUUGAAUUUGAGGGUUGGAAGCUUGAGAGUUGUUCAUUCUUGAUAAUGAUAUGGGACUUUAAAUUGAUGGCCUUGAGACUGCAUAUUGUUCAAACCAAAAGCACUGGGUUCUUGAAGGAAGAUGCUAGAAGAUGGAGAUAGGAUUGAGACAUUUUAUGUACUCUGUUUACUUGAGAUCUCAAUGUUAAAAUAAUGAUCUAGAACUUGAGAUAGGAUUGAGACAUUUAUUGUCCUCCACGACAAUAGAGCAAAUUGGUGUCCGUUACAACCCAUGAGAUCCAUGACUUCUUAUAAUGUAUUAUUUUUGUGCUUGAGAUAAUUUAGUCUGAAUUGUAGAGUAAUAUCUUUAGUUUCUUAUGCAGUUUUAGAGAUGCUCAACAACAGAGCAUAGAAUGUAGAGUGAAUGUAUUGAACAAUACUUUCAAUUACAUGAAUGAAGUUUAUGUUGGCUUUGAUGAGGAUAUAGUACCAUUGAGAAUAAGCUUUUAAAGUAAA